AGUAAUGUCUGGGAAACUGCCUGAUGGAGGGGGAUAACUACUGGAAACGGUAGCUAAUACCGCAUAACGUCGCAAGACCAAAGAGGGGGACCUUCGGGCCUCUUGCCAUCGGAUGUGCCCAGAUGGGAUUAGCUUGUUGGUGGGGUAACGGCUCACCAAGGCGACGAUCCCUAGCUGGUCUGAGAGGAUGACCAGCCACACUGGAACUGAGACACGGUCCAGACUCCUACGGGAGGCAGCAGUGGGGAAUAUUGCACAAUGGGCGCAAGCCUGAUGCAGCCAUGCCGCGUGU
rnacentral:rRNA from 1 species